rnacentral:rRNA from 1 species
UACGUGAGGGGCUAGCGUUGUCCGGAAUCAUUGGGCGUAAAGAGCGCGUAGGCGGCCAGAUAAGUCCGGUGUGAAAGUCAAAGGCUCAACCUUUGAAUGCCGCUGGAAACUGUCUGGCUAGAGUCCGGGAGGGGCGAGUGGAAUUCCUGGUGUAGCGGUGAAAUGCGUAGAGAUCAGGAAGAACACCCGUGGCGCAAGCGGCCACCUGGCCAAGAGCUGACGCUGAGGCACGAGAGCGUGGGGAGCGAACCGG